CCACAAGGGGUGAAGCCUGCGGUUCAAUUGGAGUCAACGCCAGGAAACUUACCAGGAGAGACAGCAGGUUGAGGGUCAGUCUGAAGAACUUACCUGACGAGCUGAGAGGAGGUGCAUGGCCGUCGCCAGCUCGUGCCGUGAGGCGUCCUGUUAAGUCAGGCAACGAGCGAGACCCCUAUCGGUAAUUGCUAACUGCCCAGAGAUGGGUAGAGGCUAGUUACAGAGACUGCCGUUGAUAAAACGGAGGAAGGAAGGGGCCACGGCAGGUCAGUAUGCCCCGAAACUCCUGGGCCACACGCGGGCUGCAAUGGUAGGGACAAUAGGUUCCGACCUCGAAAGAGGAAGGCAAUCCCCAAACCCUACCCCAGUUGUGAUCGAGGAUUGAAACCCGUCCUCGUGAAUAUGGAAUCCCUAGUAACCGCGUGUCAUCACCGCGCGGUGAAUACGUCCCUGCUCCUUGU
rnacentral:rRNA from 1 species